GGUGCUUUCUGCACUAUCCACUAUUCAAGAUAAAGACUUAUGCUUAACUAAACCCGGAUUUACAAUAUGUUGGAGUGUAGAGACCCUUUCUAUUCAGUCUAUUGAAUCGGCUAAGCAAAUCAACCCACAUCUUCAUGCGUAAAGCGGUCUAAGUUACUGCAAGCGGGUAGUAGAGGGAAGUGAGCCGAUGAGGCAUCGAGACAGACAUUCAACAGCAGAGAGGGAGGGAGGGAGGUAGGAGGGGGCUGGAUGAGGGGGAGGGGGGGGGGGGGGGGGGGGGGGGGGGGGGGGGGGGGGGGGGGGGAAGAGGGCAUUGAAUGCAGUCCAGCUUCUCUGCGCUGUGAAGCAGCAGCCAGGCAGUCCGACACUGAAGGACACAGCGAGGAAAGACUUUUGAGCUGCACAGUGUAGAGAUAACAAGCCGGCACUGAAGGUAAAGCUAACAAAAAAGAGGCUCUCCUUCUCCGCCAGGCUGACUGAUCAGCUGGAUACAGCGGACAAACAGCAUCAGGAGAUACGAGCAAAAGAGCGUGGAUGGGGGUGGAAGUGCCUGAGGUCCGUGUGUUCAUUCCUCUUCUUGCACAGUCUGUGUGAUGAGCCUUGCAGCUCAGGGUGUCAUUGCGACAGCACUGAGUUUGGGAGCGUGCCGGCGCGUGCGUGUUCACGUAUCAACAGCUUAGGGUCCUGAUGUUGAAUAAAGCGGGGUUUUUUUUUUUUUUAACCUGGAAGAGUUUCUCGCUGGUGACUGUUGCACCUUCUUUUUUGGCUCUCCUCUUCCUCCUCUGGUGCAGACGUCUGUGCCGGGGCUCUCUGCUGGCUUGGUACAGUGACUGCUGCUGCGUUCGUGCUCUGCUCCCCUUUUUGCAUCUCACUUCUCUUAAGCCUGCAGCAGACUUUUCCGUAACGGGGCUGUUACUACAACUGGCAAACUCAUUUUCCAGCUCCCCGCAGAAAGAAAAAGCAAAUAGAUGUUUUGGGGAUCCUCCUCUGUGUGGUAUUGACCGGCAUUGUUGCGUAGAUCGCCACAGGCCUUUUGGCUUGCGUCCACGAAAAAGCCCUCCAGCAACAUAAGAGACCUAAUAAGAGCCAGAAGUUCCAGCUGGUGAACUGGAAAGACCUGAAAGCUUGAAAGAAGAAUUCAGGAGUGUCUCGGCCCUUUAGGGCAUUUGACUUGCACUGAUUUUUUUUCUUUUCUCCAGACUUUGUGUGAAUUCUUGAUUAGAAAAACAAGGAUUGACACCUCACUCGAUACCUGGAUGUAAUCUAAUUUAAAAACAAAAAAUAACUCUUCAAUCUGAAAAGGAAUAUGAGGCGUUUUGGUCCACGCUCUUCAGGAUGUCGGUUGAAUUGGGGUGAUAUGUUUCAUCCUACCAUACCUCAACAGUAAUCCAAGGAAACCUCUGAGAAACUUUUCCAUCCAAAACCAGGCAUUCCUAAUUACCAGAGCAGUGGCAUGAACAAACUCAUGCUUGAUGAGCUGAGUGAGGAGUUUUAAAGUGCCACCAGGUUAUUACUGGGCUCCGCGUGUCCCAUUUUCAUCUUUAAUUUUUGUAUUCUGAGUAAUCAUCUUUUUAAUUAAAGGUGACGUUGGCGUGAAAUCUCCCUUCGCACCCCCUUUCCACCGCUUUCACAGACACCUGAAACCAAUUAGCUACAGCAGAUCUGGAUGGGGAUUAGGCACGGGAAAAAGCACAAGUGAUUAGAUGCAAACAUAAAGGCACCGAGAACAAAACAACAGCAAGAAGGGGAGGCGUUAAAAAUGGAACCUGUCACUUCUUCGGAGUAAUCGACAGAAAGGUGGAGCAGCGGGGACGGAUUGCAGUGGAGAAUAUGGCCGGAUCAAGGCAGUCACAUGCUAAGAUAAUGACUACCUGUGUGUCAGCAGGUAGUUUUCUUUGUUGGAGCCCAGAUUCGUGACUGACAGGCACUAAAGCCACCCAGGACUCAUUGUCAUUCCUGCUGCCGAGCCGGGCAGGGGAUCGCAGAGAGCACGAGAGGAGAAACUCUCAGCUGGUCACCACAAUCAAGGCCAAUUAGAAGAAUUUGAUUAUAUGCCUUAAUCUCACAGUUAGCUUGUAAAGGAGGCAGACACAGAGUAAGGAGGCUGAGCAGGUGCCGCCGACACACAUCAUUAUCUCUGUCCAUCUCUGAUUAAGUUUGUCUCUUCUCCUGCUGUGAGCUCUCCUGCAGUGCGUGAAGAGGAUCUUUGUUAAAGCAGAAAACAGGUGAAAGGCAAAAGUUAACAAUUUCAGGUUCGUUUUCCUGAAGAGAUUUAUUUACUACUCUGCUAAUUUAAAUCCCCAUUUUGUUGCCCCCUGGAGACUCCACAUCCCAGGAUGAACUUUUCCCAUCAAUGUUCCCCCAUAGUUUUCAAGAUCCACACAUCAAGUCUGAGAUGAAAGUUAUUCAAAGGAAGUGAUAGACGAGGGGAAUUUAUUUCUUUUUCUUUUGGAGGACAGACUUUACUUCGUCUUGGAUUCCCAGAGGCUCCUACCAAAAAUUCACUUCCACGCUUUUACAGCUCCUCCUCCUCCUCCUCCUUCCCAGGAGCUUUUUUUCAGCUCUUCUCCUUGUGGAUCAUAUGCUUCAUCCUGGACCUCACCAAGAUUAAAGUGGCCUCCAUUAUAGAAGGAAAUCCUCUAACACAGGCGCCUGGUAUUAUCUUCAUUCUGUGAGUACCUCAGAGCCUUGUUCUUUACGUUUGCCUGCUUCCUUCAGCAGCCCUCCUGCUCGUUUCUGAAGGUUCUGAUUGACACACCUGUGUACAUUUCAAGAUUAUCAUUAUUAUUAUUGUAGAGAAAAGCUUUAAUGUACCAAAGUACAUCGCAAGAUCUCACAUAAUUACUCAUUAGAAGACCAAAUCAUGAGGUGGGCCACUGACACCAUAUAAGCAAUAAACAAUCAUAAGUUUCAUUUGCAUUAUGUCAGUAACUGUUUAUUUUUUAAGCUUCCUAAAAUGUUUCUUGCCAUAUAAAACAUUAAAGAGCUAUCUAAGGUACUUUGAUUCAAUUUUGUUCUGUCUUAAUCUUUUUUUUUUAGACAAUCUCAAAUGACUGCAGCAAUGUUUGAUACCAACUGGAUUUUGCUUGUAGUUUUUGAUUAGAAAAUGAGAGAGGAUUCCAUUGAUACUUGCUGAAUCUGUUGUGCCAACCGGAUGCUUGUCUGAAGAAGGGGAGCAGAAAGUAAUUAUGGCGACACAUUGUGCCUUUUCUGUUUGGACAACAUCGACUGAAUGAGGUGGCUUGAGUUG
ensembl:lncRNA